rnacentral:misc_RNA from 1 species
UUAACUAUUAUAAUUUACUCAGACGACACUAUAACAAGAGUUUGGGUCCUCUGGCGGGCACUAUCAGCCGGAGCCGACGCCGAAGCGGCCCGCCAAAGCAACAAAGAAGGUAGACACGGGUUUUAGUUAUAAACCUAAAGGAAGCAUUGCUGCAACCACCGUAAGAGCCAGAGCAGCGUCCUUUCGGCGGCUGAUGACCCUGUCCCCAUCCUUCCAACCCGAAGGCUGGCCGACUUGAAGACAGUUAAAUACGUGGAACGAUCACAAGCCUUGCGGCCGGACACAACUAUUAAUGAUCCUUCCGCAGGUUCACCUACGGAAA